rnacentral:rRNA from 1 species
GACGAACGCUGGCGGCGUGCCUAAUACAUGCAAGUAGAACGCUGAAGAGAGGAGCUUGCUCUUCUUGGAUGAGUUGCGGACGGGUGAGUAACGCGUAGGUAACCUGCCUGGUAGCGGGGGAUAACUAUUGGAAACGAUAGCUAAUACCGCAUGACAUUGAUUAUCGCAUGAUAAUUGAUUGAAAGAUGCAAUUGCAUCACUACCAGAUGGACCUGCGUUGUAUUAGCUAGUUGGUGAGGUAACGGCUCACCAAGGCGACGAUACAUAGCCGACCUGAGAGGGUGAUCGGCCACACUGGGACUGAGACACGGCCCAGACUCCUACGGGAGGCAGCAGUAGGGAAUCUUCGGCAAUGGGGGGAACCCUGACCGAGCAACGCCGCGUGAGUGAAGAAGGUUUUCGGAUCGUAAAGCUCUGUUGUAAGAGAAGAACGGGUGUGAGAGUGGAAAGUUCACACUGUGACG